rnacentral:lncRNA from 1 species
GCUACUUUUAUAUGCUUAAAUAAUACCUUUAGAAUACUUGUUAACAUUUUUAUAUUUUUUAAUGGUGACAUUAAUAAAAAUAGUGACUCACACCCUAAUCAAAGGUUCCCACCUAUUUUCUACCUGCCAUGUGUCCUUUGAUUCUUCUCUCUCCCACAAUCUAUUUUCUUCCAAUCUUAUCUCUCUUCUCAUCCUUAUAUUUUUGGCUGUAGAAGCAAACCUAUGAUCAAGUCUUUGUUGUUUUUAUUGCUGAUGAUGCAAGGGACUUUGCUUCUCUUUUCCAUCUUUCUAAAAUGCAAUCUCCAUGUCACUUUUGUCCACUAUAUCCAAAAAAAGUCAUAUUUGUCAAUUAUCCAAAAAAGAAAGACUUGUACAAAUUCCAAUUCAAACAAGAAAAGAAAACGUGUGUUAAAAAUAAGUGAUGAAAUCUAUUACCAGCCUUUUUCUAAAAAACAAAUCAAUUAGGUUGUUAAGUAAAAUUAUAUCACG